rnacentral:rRNA from 1 species
UCUCCGUUGGUGAACCAGCGGAGGGAUCAUUACAGAGUUGCAAAACUCCCAAACCAUCGUGAACGUUACCUACAUCGUUGCUUCGGCGGGUGGCGGGCUUCGGCCCUGCCCUCGGCCCCUCUCGGGGGCCCGCCGGAGGUACACCAAACUCUUGAAUUUACAUGGCCUCUCUGAGUCUUCUGUACUGAAUAAGUCAAAACUUUCAACAACGGAUCUCUUGGUUCUGGCAUCGAUGAAGAACGCAGCGAAAUGCGAUAAGUAAUGUGAAUUGCAGAAUUCAGUGAAUCAUCGAAUCUUUGAACGCACAUUGCGCCCGCCAGUAUUCUGGCGGGCAUGCCUGUCCGAGCGUCAUUUCAACCAUCAAGCCCCCGGCUUGUGUUGGGGACCUGCGGCACACCCGCAGGCCCUGAAAACCAGUGGCGGGCUCGCUGUCCACACCGAGCGUAGUAGCAUAUCUUUGUCUCGCUCAGGGCGUGCGGCGGGUUCCGGCCGUGAAACCCACCUUCUCGAAGGUACCCAAAGGUUGACCUCGGAUCAGGUAGGAAGACCCGCUGAACUUAAGCAUAUCAAUAAGCGGAG